UUCUCCCACCCGCUGGACCCGCCCGGGAGCGCGGCCCGGCUUGAGUCGCCGGGGCUCUGGUCUCCGCGAGCUACGGUUGCCGGGCUCCGUUCACAGCAAAGCUGAGGGUUUGGGUCAAAGCAUGGAAUACAGACAAAACCCCAAGACGCAGCCUGUGCUUUAAGCUCAUCCAAACAUCUACAGUCCCUGGAUGAUGCCAGCAGAUUUCUCCCAACAGAAAGGUUGAUGGUUUGAAUCCACCCUGCACUGCCCUGCCGACGAAAGGUCAGGAGCUCUGCUGCCAUGGAGAAAUCAUUAUUCAAGAAUUGUUUUUGAUUGCUGGACAUUCCAUUGGCGAAGUUGAAAGUCUAUCGCUCAGAGGAAAUAAGUCGACAAGGAGGAGAACCCGAGCGUCGUGCUUCCAAACUGCUGUGGAUGACCCUGGCCCUCGGAACCACCCUGUCAAGUAAGAUGUCACUGAGGUCCCUCAAAUGGAGCCUUCUGCUGCUGUCACUCCUGAGUUUCCUCGUGAUGUGGUACCUCAGCCUCCCCCACUACAAUGUGAUCGAACGUGUAAACUUCAUGUA